rnacentral:misc_RNA from 1 species
AAAAUCGACAGCUGAGUCACCUUGCAGGACACACAGUAGCCACCUUCUUUUUGCCAUUCAACAACAAGAGAAAAGGACAGGUAGCAGGUCUCAAGGAACGAAGACAACCACACGAAGCAACUACACCAACGCCGCCGCAUCGCGAGUGCAAGGACAGGUGCGCGGCAUUGCUGGAUGAUCUCCUGAAGCGCAUCGGUGCGGCACAUUUCGCUCUCACUCCCCUCCCAAAUAAGAACGACAGACACGCUGCGCGCGGACACGGGCGCACAGACGUCAUCUGCGGAGACACCCACAGCAGCAAAAGCGGAGCGAAGACCCAAGCGACGGUGACAAAACAGAGCGCGCACCCAAGGAAAAACACCAGAGUAAUUCGGUGCCGGUCUCCGCCCUUCCCGGUGUGGUUUCACUCCCUUCCCAACGAAAAAGGAAAGAGACAGACGAAAAGGUGACCAAGAAAAACAAACAGAUCUACAGUAGGUAACCUGAAGGCACGCGCAUCUCUAUCCCAGCCGCUGAAUACCCCCAGAAGAAAGCACACACAGGCAGUCGACCGAAAAAAAAAACAAAAAAGAACCUACGGCGCCGCGAAAGUAGCGGAGCAAGCGACCUCUCUCGACGACUGUCGGACGACAGACAAGCCGAAGCAACGCGCAUCAAGCAGAAAAAAAGAGCGACGAAACACACACGUACGCCGCGGCAGAAGUAGUGAAGAAGAGGAGGUACGCGAUCAGUGGAACUCCCGCCCUGGCACACCGGAAGAAAAAGGGAAAAGGCGUACGUGGGCGAGGCGAGCAAAGUUUGAAGGCUCGCUGAUUUCCGCUUGUCACGCAAGUGCACGAAAAGCGAUCAGCAGAGCACCACGAAGCGAGGAGGAAACAGCGAAGAAGGGUCGAAUCAUAACGGUUUCGGAGGCCAGCGAGUUCUGUGCAGCUGUUAGAAAGACUCAGCAUCAGCAGCAAGUACGAAAAAGAGGCGCUCUGUCUUGAUCCGCUUCUCCCUUCUCCCUUCCUGCCACCUCACCAGAUCUCCGUGUGCUUUUGCAAGGACUGAACUCAUUUCUUCCGUGCCGUCUUUCUGACGAGGUUGUCGCGUUUACUUUUUUUAUUUUUGUGGGUUCUUUUUUUUCGGUGGUGGUGUGGUGGCCACCGCCUCUCAGGUUCUUGUUUCCUUCCGCUGUGUUGUUUGACUGUGCUGGGCGACAACAUACGAUCCCCCUCUCCCCAUCCUCCUCCUCCUCCCGCCAAAAAAUGCAAGGAUAACAGCAAGCAGCAAACCGACAAGAAAAAAGAAAUAAGACAAAAUACACAGAGAGACACACACACACACAGGGCACGCACAGCACAAACAAAAACAGAAAGGCACGUAAUCAAGUAAGAAAACGGAAGGGACGAAACAGAAAGCAAUAACAGGACGAGAAAGGCUAAGACGCAAAAAGAAGGGAAAGCAGAGAAGGAAACCAUUGCAUGUGUAGCACACUCGAGCGCUUCUCGUUCUCCCUUGCUCGUCGUCUUCUCCCCCUUCUCUCCGUCGUUUAUCCAUCAGUUCUUUUUGCUUUUUUUCUCACUUGUCUUUUCUGACCCACCCCUUUUACGUUUUGGCUCUCCUUAGUUCCUACCUUCUUUUUUUUUGUUUUGGUUUCGCUUUAUGUGUCAGCGGUAGUUCUGUGCACGCGUGCCUCUUUUGCUCUCCGCCUCCUCUGCACUUCUCCCCUCUCUUCCUUCUCCUGUUUCUUUUUUUUUCCAGCUUCUGUUCAUGCAUUUCUUUGCUUACGUGUUUGUCUGGUUUCUGUACUCAAAACCUUUGUAUUUCUUUUUUUCUUGACCUAGUUUUUCUUGCCCGCCCUCCCCCUUUUUUCAUUUUUUUUUCAGACUUGGUGGUUUGUAUUCUCUCCUCUUCCUCGUCCUUCUCCGCUGCUGUUUGUUCGCUUCCCUCAGUGUUAGCCUUUACGCGUUUUUCGCUUGGUGUCGUAUCCCUGCCUCCACCCCUCUCUCUGGUGUGUGUGCGUGUGUCUAUUCGUCUGGCCGCGUCUCUUGUUGUGUAGUACUCCUGGGUUUCUUCUUGUCCUCCGACUCCAUUGCUUUUAAUCACCCUUGUCCAUUUCUUCCUUCUUUGCGGGUGGUAUUUCGGGAUAUUCUUUCUGCUGCCCCCUCCUCCCUCACUCCCUCCGAUUCUCGUCCUUGGACCUCUGCCGUUAUCUUGAUCUUUCUCGUCUUGUGGUCGUUCUGCAUCUGCCAGCUUCGACCUAUUUUGUCUUUUACACCACUCUUGCCUCAUAACUCAUUCGCUUUUGUGUCUUCGAUCUCUUUAUGGAUUUCGUUUAUUUUUUCUUCUUAUUGGGUUCCACAUCUUUACGUUCUUUCUUACUCGUUUCUUGCCACUUUUUUCUUUCAUUCCCCUCGUCCUCUCGCUGCCCUCCCGCCCUCCACCGAUCUUUCUUUGCCGCUGUAUCUUCUUCGUCUCUUUCGUCUUGCGCCUGUAGUUGACCUGUUUCUCUCGUGCCCUUUCUGCUCACUCUCCUUCUUCUCACGAUAUUACUUGUGAGCCGCCAUUACGCCAGUGGCUCACGACGCCAGUCCACCCACACCACACCAGUGUAGAUAACCUCUGAGGGAAGAAAGAGCAAGAAAGACCAACACCAACAAAAAGGAGCUAUCGAAAACCAAAUACUCACGCACAAACACACACACACACACACAAAGAAAAAGAUAAGGUACACACAGAUACAUAUUCUUGUUUGUUGCCUGUUGCUUUCACUCUUUAUCUGAGCCUUGUGCUCGUGUGGGUGCGUUUGUUUGUGUGCGCGCGCCGUAGUUCUCACAUCCCUCCUCCCCCUCAUCAUCAUCGGAGGAUUUGUCUCUCUCUCAUUCCGUAAUCUCUAUACACACACAUCCUAGUAGUACUCUUACUUUAAAACGACAACAGCAUAUACCGGGUUUGCUUCGCCUUACUCUUUUUUGUUUGUGUCGCCGAGCCCCUCCCCUCACCACAUCAUCACUAUCAUUCUCUUCAGCCCCCUUCCCCCCCCCCCCCCCCACUCUCACUCUUCCGUGGCCGAUCACCUUGCCCUGCCUUGUGCAUACGCUGUGAUUUAUAUAAAACAUUUCAACUCGCGUGCGCAUCUAUUCACGGGUCCAGCACUUCAGCUGUUUCCUUCUUCAAAUCUUGUCUAUUAGGGUUCCGCUUUUUUCGUGUUAUUUUUGUUUUGGUGAGGCCCUUUUUUUCUUGGUCUUUCGCCUGUCCGCUCUGUGCUGGUCGUUCUCCCUUCUUCUCUUACUACCCCGUGUCUCCGCUCGCGUAUAGCCGCAUACUGUAAAGCCCAGCCGGCUUUUGCGCCUCUUUGUUUUCGCCAUUAAAAAAAAAGGUUUCGCGCUCUCCCUCCCUUUCUCGACGCAAUUCUUUAUCGAUUACCUUUUUUUUCCUGUCAAACACAUCACACACACACACACACAAACUUUCUGUCCCUCGUGUGCUUGUGUUUCCGUGUGUUGUGUGUCUUCGGGCACUCCCGGGUCUUGAACUCAACUUGUAUCAGAUUUUCGCACUCUUUUUUUUUCUCUCUCUCUCUCCGUGUGUGCGUUUUGUUUGUCUUCUUGAUUGUCAAUCCAAAGUACUCCCCUCCCCUCCCCUCCCCUCCCCUCCGUUUCUCGUCCGUGCGGAUUUCUUUUGAUUUUUUUUUGUUGUAUGUAUGUUUUUUUUCUUUUGCCGUUUUCGAAUUGCUUUCCUUCCACCCUGUCGCUGAGUGCGUCCCUGCCCCCUCCCCCCUUCUUUUUUCCUUCCCCGCAGCACAAAGGCUUUGCUCUUUGCGGCGUUCCUCACCCUUCUUCAUACGGCAGACAUACCUGCUCCCCUUUUUGCUGUUGCCGUCGUUGUGGCUGCUCUUGCUCUCUGCCUCUGCGCGUCGAAGUGUGAGGCGCAGCACAUCUGUAGCGGUGUGUAUAUACAUAUAUAAAUAUAUAUAGAUCUGUGCAUGUAUGUGCACAUCCUUCGCCUCAGCUCUUGUCUUUCUUGCUCUCGCUCCAGCUCUCUCCCCCUUGCGCUUGCCUUGGCUCUUCUCCUCACCUUCACCGUUUUUUUUUUUACUUCUCUUUCUUCUUUGGGUUGUGCGUUGCUUAUAGGUAUAUCGGUAGAUAUCUAUAUCUUUGCUUCGUUCUUUUCUCUCGAUCACUUGCCCUUCGACUCCCUAUAUUUUAUUGCUUGCAGAUUUCCUUUUUUUUUUUAGGGGGCUUGUGUUUCCUCUUGCGUCCUUUUUUUUUGCUUCGUUUUUGUUGGGUGAUUUACGUUUUUUUUUUUUCCUUUCGCCUUUACUCGUGGAGCUCAUCUCAUUGCCUUCUCCUCUUUGCCGUGGCUGCUGUUGUCGUCACCGGGGGCGUUCCUCUGGCGGCCUUUCUUUUCUGUUUUGUUUGUGUCUUCUGUUGCACCGCGGCGUCGAUCGUGCACAGACGAAAAAAGAAAACGAAUCGGAAGACUAUCCGCCACACACGAACGCGAGGGGGGAAAAAAAGAAAAGGUGUCCAUCCGCGGGAGGACGCACGAUAUCGAUUUCACGCACAAAGGGCAACGAAAAGAGGACAUAACUGAAAGCGGAAGAAAAAGAAACAGAGGUCUGUCCCUCCCCUCUCUCCGCCUUUCACGCUCGUACCCGUUCGUGGGAUUUUUAGGGACAGGAAGGAGUUGCAGGCAUCACCACCCAACACGCAACUGCUGCGCGUGAGGCCAGACGUGCACACAGCAAGGACAACAAGGACAGCAACAGCAACAACAACACUCGCACACACAAGAAAAACCUGCACUUCGCAAUCUCCUUCUCCUUUCUUCUUCGUAAAGGGAAGAGGAAAGUGAGAUUGUGCGCAGACGUGCUUGCCUUUUUGCGUGUUCGCCUCGUUACACGUCUUACUCCCACGCCUGCGGAUAACAAGCCCCAAGGAGCGGCGAUCAUUCACCGGAUUUUUCACAAAGACGAACGCCCCUCUUGGCUGCCGCGUGCUUUCUUGUGAUUGAGCAGCGAGGAAAGCUGAGAGAACCAGCAGCCAUCAACAGCGGGGACUACGCACUGAUACAAAACAAAAAUCAGUAUAACAAACAGUUUCUAGUGUUGUAGCUCGUUUCGGCCUUCAUUUUCUCUUGUUAUUCUCUCUUCCGUUUCUUCCUUCAUCAUCUCCAAUUCUUUUUCUGUGUGCUUUUUUUUUGUUUCGUUGCGUGCAUCGGCUAGCCCACGCCCGCCCUCCCUCGAUACCUGCCUUCCCCCCGACACACACACACACACACACACACACACACGCACACACGCCUCACUAUCACUACUACUACUAAACAUCUCUAUUCUCCGUUCGCUUUUUCGUAUUUAUUUUGUUCUGUUUCACGUGAAUCCUAUCUUCUAUACAAUUUUUUUUAUUCGUUUCCAUUCUACUGUGUACGUUGAUCUGCUCGUCUCUCGUUCUGGCUGCUGUUGUUUGAGCUCUCUCUCACUCACUGUGCUUCCGUUUCUUUCUUUUUUUUUUGGAGGGGCCUCUUUGCGUUCCUAGUGGCUUGUGUUACUCAUUUUUGUUCUUCUCUUGUCGUGGUGGUAGUCUUUCUCUACACUCGUGCGCGCUCCCUCUGCCGCCUCGCGUCGGUGUUGACGUUUAUUCGUGCUGCAUACUUUGUGUGCGCGUGCCUUGUGUUGUUUUUGCUUUGUUUUGUUCAGCAUUCUAAUCUUUUUCGCUUUUUUCUUAUUUUGCUUCACAGAGUAACUCUGUAACGUCCUCUGCACACCUCUCCACCCAUCUUUUUUCUUUUUCUUUUUGCCUGCCUUGUUCUCCCGUGUUGUGUUCCUGUUAGAUCUGCCUCCGACGCAACGAUCUGUCCUUCUCCGUGGAUUCUUCUGCUUGCUGCUUGGCUUUUGCGUUUUGUUUCCCGCGCGACACAAAUUUUUUUUGCCCUUUUUUUUUUGUGUGUCUUUGGUGUUUGUCUCGUGGUCGUUCCUCGCUCCGCGUGCCCGCUUGUGUUUCUUCUUGUGAGUCUGCUCUUUUUUCUAUUUUGCAUCUAUUUUGCUCUUCCUGCACGUCUCUCUGCUUUUCCGUGCCUCUUGCAUGUUUGCCGUGCUCGCGUGCUUUCCUGCUGCGUUUCUUCUCUCCACGCGUCUCUCAGUCCUCCUCCUGCUUUUAGCGGCGCUGUCGUAACGGGCAUCCGUCGCGCCGUUUGGGGCCGCCUUUGCCUUUUUUUUCGUUGCGUCUUGAUCGUCUCCUCCCCACGCGCUUCAGGGCCCACCCCUCAAGUCUUCUUCCUCCCUUCACCGCUCCAACCCUGCUGUAUUCAUCUCUGCCGGCGUUGAAGCUGCGCAAGUGCGUGCAUUUGUGGCGGACAGGACGCCUUCUGCCUGCGUGCCUGAGUGUUUGCACGCGCGUGUGCAUCAGGUGGAGUAGCACGUGGUGAGAGAGGGGUGCGAAGACCGGUUUUGUGCGUGCGUGAGUGGACGUGACGGUGCCCUUUUUGUGACAACGCUGAAGUACUGCGAAUAUAGUCGACUCUACCGACUCGUGUACUCGCUCGAUCCUCCAUUUCUUUCCGUUUCUUUCUUUCCUUUUUUUUUUUUCGCAGCCCCGCCCCGCCCCGCACCCCCGUCCAUCCUUCUCUCGUCACCCGUCAGUCCUUGACUCGUGUGUCUGCACUACUCGACAGGACUUAUUGCUGUUACUCUGCUCGAGAGGGCGGACGAGGCAACGAAGGAAAGUCGCCUACACGCGCAGUGGCACAGCACACACAGUGAAGCGGCAGCAUAAGAGGAGAGGAGAAGAAUAAGAUUCAUUCUUUCCCGCAAAAGGAAGGAAGAUGAGCUACAAGCACAACGGCGGCUACCACCGUGGCCGCCCGUCGGUCGCCACGACUGCUGACAGCAAGCUGAACCUGCUGGUCCGCUUUCUUGACCACGGCGUCGACGACAGUCAGUUCCGCGUCUUCUUUGAGCCGUUUGGCGAAAUCACCUCGUCGAUGGUGAUGCGCGACAUCUUUACUGGAGAGAGCCGCGGCUUUGGCUUUGUGCGCUUCGCCCGCAGCGCAGACGCCGCACGCGCGCUGCGGGAGUGCGAUGGCAAGAGGCUUGGUGGAAAGGCUGUCAACGUGAUAUGGGCGAAACAGCAGCACGACGAUACACCAGCUGGGCAAGAGCGGCUGAAGAUGAACAAGCUGUUCCUGCGCAACGUGCCACUGGGUGUUACGGAGGCUGAGCUGGUCGCGCUUCUUCGCGUGUACGGUACUGUAACGGAGGCCUCGCUGCAUAGCGACAAGAUCCCCGCCGCCCGCCACGCUCCAGCGCGCCGCAUAGCCUUUAUCAUGUUUGCCGACGAGGGGGCAGCCGAGGCUGCGCUGCGUGGCGUCCAUAACACUUGCCCCUUUCCCACAUGCAACGGCAUUCCGCUGAUGGGAAAGCUGUCGGAGGACUACAAGGCAAAGAACGGCGGCAGUGGCAACAGCAGCAGCAACAGCAGUUGCCAAAACUUCAGUGCUCCCAGCCGCGCCCCCGCCAUUCUUUUCACGGACCACGCACACUUGCCUCCCAUGUUGGACUGCGCCUUCUGCACCUUUACAGCGAAGCAGGUAGGCGGUGCCUGCUCCCCGACACCGGCGAGCAGCGUUCACCUCUCCGACUCCGCGGCGGAAGACUCGCUCUUCUCGCCGUCGGCCGUCGUUGCGGGUGGCUCUCAAGCAGACGGAGUCAUCGCCGAACAGGAGGCAAUGGCCCGCUACUCGCCUGCCUUGCGCCUGUCAACUCUUCGCCUGCCGGCUCCGACGUUGCCGAAGGUCUUCCGACACAAUCCGUACGCGGCGUCGCUCAUCGCCCCGAGGAGGAACUCAGGGUAGGCGAGGAGAAGGGCUUCUCCGGAGCUUACGGCGUCUGCCCUUCCGGCGGACGCGCGGCUGCAGAAGCUGCGAGUCGAACAGGGCAACGUGCCGACAUGCAGCAAGACGAUGCCGGCAGUGGUCGUGUUGCCGUUUGUUUUCGUUUGUGUCUCCCUGGAAAUGAAAGCGGAGCUCGCACGGAAGGAGAGCAACCGAAUAAACAGACAGCCUUCCUACAUCAUGCUGCGUCUAGCGCACAGAAGUAGCAACAACAGUGCUGCGAGAGAAGACUAGGGAGGGACAAUGUGUGUGCGGGCAACUGUCUUCUGUCCCAUGCUUCUCCAUGCCACGACAUGACACAGAAGAUGCGCAAGAAGCCCUGGGAAGCCCGACUCCUCAGAGAUGCUCAUGAGAUAGCAUCUCAACCAGGGCUGAGGGGCGUUGUGACGACACCUUCGAGGGAAACAGGAGAAAAAAGUGUCUUGAUACGGCUCCCGCCGGUGGACUCAUUGUACUUGUACUGCCUUUCCUGUAUUCCUGUCUUCUCUUGUUUUUGUGGCGCUUCGCAUAUCGUCUUGCAUGUAUAUAUGUGCAUGUAUGCUGUUGUUUUUCUUUAUGGGUGCAUUCGUGUGCAUGUGUGGAGUGUCAUGUGCUGUCCUUCGGUGUGCCGCUUGUCGUUCUUGCCUGCCUCAAUCUGUCUUUGUGUGCAUUGGCUUCUGCGCUUUUCAUCUUUCCGUGUGACACCACGAAUACCUGCCGUUCCUUCCUCGUUUCGCUUUUUGAUUUUCUGUGUCUGCGCUCUGCGUCUUUCUCCUCGCUGCUGUUCUCCCCACCCCUCCCUCCCUCCCCCUUCUCACAUCUGGGCUUUCAAAACGGACAUGCAACUGCUCCCGCCGCCACUUCGCCCACCACUACGUCUCGAUGCUUUUGCCCCUUCUCGCCUGUGCUCGCCUCUCUCCGUCUUCGUCUUCGUGUGCAUGUGCGUGUGGCCAACGCUCACGUAGCCCUACCGCAGCCUGUCGUUGUCUUGUUCUGUUUUGGCGAUAUCUCUUCCCUCGUCUCGCUCUCCGUGUCCCUUGUUGUGUGUCUCCAUCGCAGACAACCCACUUGGCAUGCUCCUCCGCUCUCGCCGAGUGCCCUGCUCAUGCUUUUCUUUUCCGUCUCCGAAUGUGUUAUUCAAUGUAUAUAUAUAUAUAUAUAGAUAUGUUUUCCAAGAGUGAUGUAUCGACCGCCUCUGCCGGAAAGGGGACCGUCAGGUGCCAGUCCGUCUUUUGUACUCACACGUCAAUACACCCUCCACCACGUGUGCAUAACGCACCGAUCACGUGCACCCUCGCCGACAAGCUCAUAAGAAAAGUGGAGAUGGAGAGGAAGGACGGAGAGAGCGAUCGAGCCGAGCGAGAAGGAUGCCGAGAGAUGACACACAGCGUAUUGUUUGGACUGUAUUUUGUUUUGCUUUCUAAUCACUUGUCGGCGCCUCAUCCGCCUAUUCGGCACGUUUUGUCUCGUUUCUUUCUUUGUUUCGGGGAUGCUGGCAACAGUGCUGGUGUUGCAGGUGGGGGUAAGAAUGCUCAUCAUGGCGAACCAUUGAGGUGUUGGAAAAGUGCUUUUCCUUGAAUGAGCUCUUUUAUGUAUGUCUACAUGUGUACAUGCAUGUAUGUGUGGACGCGGAUGUGCGUAGUGAAUGUGUAUGCAUGUAUAUGUAUAUAUAUGCAUAUAUAGAUGUAUAGGUGUCGGUAUCUUCGUUUUUCUUUCCUCUUCGUUCUUUAGCUUUAUGUGUGCCUUUCGCCUUUGUCUUGUGUAUUUUGUUUCCAUUCAAGUGCAGUUCCCUCUGUCGUUUUAGUUGUCCUUCACUACAUCGACUCUCUCUAUCUUUCCGUUUUUCUUUUCUGUAUUGCUCUCUGCUGCUUCUCUGGCCUCUUUCUUUGCACUCUCUUGUUGAUGGGAAGACGUGGCUGUGCAGUUGCGAAAAUAUCCCGUGACGGACGAAACGCGAAUCUGCCACGCGUACGCUGAGUCACUGAGAGGGCAGAAAAUGAAAACCACAGGUCACUUCUUCCACAUGAAGAAAGGACCGCAUACAGAGACUGAAAGCUGCACAUGCGUGGCCGGCACAUACAUGCCAUCAAUACAGGCAUGCCUACCCAAGGAUUACAUGAAAAAGCGACAUACCUCGCGACUCUCUGCCAUGGUCACGGUCUCGUUCGGUUGUAUUCAAAUCUGCUUUGAAAAAAGCACAUGCACAGGCACGCGGCGGAAGGAACAGCAAUGCAAAGGCCGCGAGAACUAAUAAGAGCAGUGAAACGAAAAUAAAGAGCAUUUUUAUCGGCAACAGGUGGAGACGAUAUACCCACACCCGCCCACACAUUUAUAAACAACACCCUUUUAUUGUUUAGGGAUCUUUUAUUUUUUGGUAUCUGUGUGCUUAUUUUAGUUGCAAUUAUGGCGGCGCACGCUGCGGGGCAUCAUUAGUGAACAUCGACUCUCGUCUUGACUACCUAUUUUUUUUCUCGUUUGAUUCCUCCACGUCAUGCGUGUCCUCUCCUCAUAUGGAGUACUCCUGCAUGACGCCUCAUCUCUCUCUGCCUCUCUCGUGUUUAUGUCUGUAUGUGUGUGUGUGUGUUUUGAACAUCGCUUGUUGUACCCCUUAUGUUACACCUCUCAUGCCCGAUCUGCGCAACCGUCUUCCCAAGUCUACGGACGUCACAACUAUGGACGUCUUCCCUUCGGCCACCUCUUUUAUUUUUAGACCCUCCUCUGCUGCUUUUCUUUUGUUGCGUAUCUUACCUUUACUCUUUGUUUUUCCUUUUCGUUUCGCUGUCGCUAGCACCACCUCUUGUUGCCCGAGUCACUUAUUCGCACUCCUUCCCUCGCUUGAUAGAAAGCGAAUAACAGAGAGUCGCGUAGAGGAACGUGUGUGCGCGUGUGCGUGCAUGCAUGCGUGUGUGUGUGUGCGUUUCUUUUUUUUCCCCCAUCUCUUUGUUUGCUCGACGUACGCGUACGAGAGCACAACAUGUUCAUCGCGUGUAAUCAUCUUAUAUAUUUGGCUGUUCCACUCUCUGUGUUUGUAUUUCUUGCUUUUUUGCUAGUGGCCACUGGCUGUGCCCUCUCCCCUUUUUUUAUUUUGCGCUUUUCUUUUUUUUUUUCGCUUGUUGGUUGCAUUUUCAGUUUUCGUGUCCGUGCGCUCGUCAACAUUGUUUCUCUUCAGUGUCUCUGUCUUUUAGUUUCUUGUGCAGGCUCUUUACUCUUCUGUGCCCCUUUAUUUUUCCGUUUAGGCUACAUUGUCUCUUAUUUUUUUUUCCAUUCUAUCAUUCUAUGUGUGCGUGUGUGUGUCUGCGUGAGCGUCCGUGGAUCCUCUGUUUCUCCUCUUGUGUGCUACUUGGUUUUGUGCGCCACUGCUGUCUUUACAUGUCGAGACACUUCUUCGUCUUUUUUUUUCGUUGCUUUCGAUUCCAGUUUUAUUUUUGUGUUCUCUCUGUGCGUACAAGUGUGUGUUACGUUACGGCGCGUGUCUUUCUUGGUCUCUGUAUGUGUCUGCCAUCUCUCUCUUUUUUUUUUGUUCGGGUCUUUUCUCUUGCUCUCUCCGUCAUUGCUUGGACAUCAUCUUCCGCCUUUUUUUUGUUGGUUAACACCCUGGAUUUCCUUCCUCUUCCCUCCCCGCGGCGCCCUUUAUGGCUCCAUCAAUCUUGUCCGUAUCAGAGAUGUCACAGACAUGCAUCACGAGAGGUGUGUAUGUAUCUCUGUCUCCUUGGAAGGAGGGUCUUUUUAUUUCUAUUUCGUUUCAUGUCCUUGUCUUGGUACGCCUUUCACCCUGCCUUUUUUUGCCCCUUCACCACUUCCUCACCGCCACAUGGGCACACUGACGACAGCUCUCUCUCUAUCCUCCCUCGGUGCUUCUCCUCAUUUAUGCCUCUUCAUUUUCUCUGCCGUCACCUGUACAAUGUUUUUUUUUUUCGUGUCUAGGCGGGGGGACGGGGGAGGGUCUUAUGCACUUCUUUCGCACCUCCGUGCCUCGUGCCACACACCCUCCCUCCUCUCCCUUGUACCUUUUUAUGCCUUCUUACAUUCCGUUUGUGUGUGUAUGCGUGCUUAUUCCGUCCUCUUAUUCUUGCUUGCCGGCCCGUCUUUCUGUCAACCGAGUCGUUUCGUCCCUAGCGCUUGAACACCAGAGUUCGUCCAAGCACCCGAUGUUCUGUGGAGAGAGAGUGAGCAUGCAGCUACCUCCAUCGGUGGGAAACUCCCUCUUUCCAAGAGGAGAAACUUAAAAAUGCAAACACACACGCACACCCACACACUAAUAUACGCUGGUGCGCGAGAGAAGUUUCUGCCUGGGAGUGAGAGGACGGGCUGCAAGAGACGUUCAGUAUACUGCGUCUUCUCUCUCGGCCUUUUCCGCUUCCUUCCUCCUACACCGCCACCCGCCGCCUCAUCCAUUCCUUGCCCGUCUCUCUUUGGGUGUGUGUGUGUGUGCGUUUUUGUUUGUUACGUCUCUUUUCCAUGCAGACGACGUGCUUUUUCUUGUUUAGAUUUAUUUUCUGGGUUUUGCUCCUUCACUCCGUCCCUUCCCACUUGUCUCUUCAUCGCCCUUUUCGAGUGCAUCUGCACACAGGAGGAUCAUAAACAUUCUCAGUCGGCACGAAUAUGGGAGGAUGAAGGGCUGCUCCCCCCCGGUGGAGCAGCUGAAUGGAAGGAGUUGUACGUGAUUCCGGGCUGUGGCACUGGUGGGGAUGUCGAUGGCGAGCGAGUGUCAUUCGCUGGUGAGGUACCAGCGGUGAAAGGACAGGGCAGUGCACGCGCACAAGAUCAACGGAGACCACGUAUGUGUUGCAUCGUGAACCAUUUCCUGCCCUCCUCGUACAUGGAGCGUCACAAUGAAAGAUGCAGAUCAAUCUGCGUCCCUGCAGCUUCACACGCAAGCCUCGUGGGUACAUACUUAUCGCCCCAUUGCCCCUCAACGCUCACGCGUUGAAUGCCCGCAUUCUUUUGCAGGAAUUCCGUCCAACGCGACCUUUCUGGCGAAAGUUUUUUCGUUUUCUUCGUUCGAGUUUGCCUCUAACUCUGUGUCUUUUCCUCCUCGCCUGUCUUGUUGCGCGCUGUCGUCCGCGUCGACUGACCCUCUUCCACCCGCACUUGACAAGAGGGUGACUUUUUCGUUUGUGGCGGCUCUCUCUCCAGUGCUCCCGCGCGGUUUGGUUGUCUUCCUGCUGUUUUUCGCGUUUCUUUUGCACCGCUACCGUCCACCAAAUACUGCCCCUCCCUUCCGCCCCUGCCUCUCCCCAUGAUCCGCCACCCCGGUAGUGCCGCGCUUGUGUACGUGUGCGCAUGCACCCUGCAGCGGUGCUUGAGCAGGCCCUCUUCGCUUCUCUUGAUGUGCACGCGUGCAUGCACUCACUUUCUCUUCGCUUUAUGCUUCCGUUGUUUUUUUUUUUCCUUUGUCCGCGCACAUGUUUCUCCCCCUUCUUACGCGUGUGUGUGCUUUCUCUAUCAGCUGGUGUUGUGGGCGCCACUGCCGUUGUCGUGUGUGUGCGUGUUUCGGGGGUGGUGACGAACUCUCUUGUCGCCCGCGCGCACCUCUGUCGGUGUUUCUUUUUCACCUUUUCCUUUUGUUGCCUGCGUCAUCAUCCUUCUCGCCGCCCUCCCCCUUUCUCUCUUCCUCCCACAACUUGUUUCCGCUUUUCUCUAUCUGCUGCAUUUUUUUUGUUGCGGUACCACUGCCAGCGGUGCCGGCCUCGUUUUUUUUUGUGCCUUUCUCUCGCCCCCGCCUUUAUCGAAGAAAAAGAACAGUAAAACCACGUAGGCAAACACACACACACACACAGACCCUUGCUGGUGCGCAUGCGCUCUUGGCGACCUGAGCGAUGCUUUUCGUCUUCUAUUUCGUUUCUUGCUUCUCUUCUCUGCUGCUCGCCACCACUAUUCUCAGGCUUGAUCGCCAGCCACCAGGCGAGGUGGCGAUACCGCUCACCAGUGGCACAAUGCCAGGACCUAGCGCGCCCGACUUUCGGGAGAACGGAAAGGAGGACAAGAAGGGCCCAGUGCGCCGCUGGAGCGAAGACGACGAAGAAAUAAAACGCCUGAAGCGAUGUCGAAGGAAAAAAAAACAAAAAAAAAGAUGGAGAGGAAGGCAUGCGUGGCACAGAGUGCGAGGGCGUUCAGAACACAACGAAACAGCAGAGAGAAGAAACGGCCAAAAAAAAAACGGAGCGCCGAAAUCAUGUACGCAUCAAAACGUUGGCAAAAGAUGAAAGGAGCAAAAACGCAGAACAACACGAAGUUCUCUGCGUCUGUAGUAGUUGGUGUCUGUGCGUGUCCUCUUCGACCCUGCGCCACGUCCGUAGAUCAUUUCUUUUUUCUUUUGGAUAUGUUUCGAUGUCUUCAUUUUUUCGAAUCCUCUCCUUUCCCUGCGUUGUCGACGCGAUGAGUGCGUCUCUGUCUCGGUGUGUAUGCAUGGGGCGCAUUUAUUCUGCCGACAGGAUUUCUCGUUUGUCCGCACACCCUCGCCUCGUUCACAUCGUUCCUACUCAUUUCGUCGUCUGUGUCUGUGUGUCUGUGUGUGUGGGCGCGUGAUUCUCUGUCAUCCGUGCUUUUUCUUCCUUUUCUAGAUUGGUUUAUUUUUCCGUUUACCAACUCGCAUGCCAUGUACACUAUAAAGGACGACGAGCCGACGGCUUUUAGCGCUUUUGUUCUUCUUUUUCAGCUUCCCCGUUUCGAUCACCUUUCUUUUUUAUUUUCUCCACAUUGACACGGGCAUCUGUCCGUACUUCGGCUUCCGGCAGCGGCAAGAUGACGUGCUGCCAACGACACAGCUAGCGCUGCGGCAGCCACGCACCCGACCGCGGUUGCGAUGAGGGCGUUCUGCCUGGUGUGUGGUGCGCGGUAUGCUACGCAAGAGUCGCGGAUCGCUCAGCGUGGGUGUCGCAACCCACGUCGUUCCUCACACCAUGGCUCUGCACGCAGUGUUGUGACUACGCACAUCUCUCGCGCGCUGCGCGGGCUUCCCGGGCUUCCCGGGCUUCCCGGGUUGUGUGUCUAGGGCUGCCCCCCGCCCCCACCCCCACCCCCUGUACGCCCUCACAAGGACAAGGUGUGAGCUCUCUGUGUGCAGGCGCAUGUCUAUCCGCGGUUCCCUUCCGCUUGGCACGCGCACCCCUGCGAGUGGCGUGCGGGAGCUCAGAGGAAGGCAGAAUGCCCCAUGCCGCCACCGACGCAUAACGGCGGCCCCACCUGUCGCAGCGCAUGCGAGCACGCUAUCCAGAGACGCCCCGUCCAUGGCAUUGACAGAAGCUGCAAGAUGACGGCAGCGAGCCCCCGAGGCAACAGCGCCGUCCUGAAUCAGGCGCCAAUAUGCGAGAAUGCGGGCACCGCGCACACGUGCGGCUAGCCGUAGCUGGCACGGUGUGCCACAUCCCGAGCAAAGCAGGCAGAGGCCAGCAGCGCAAGAGCGAUGACCGAGGAGGGCGCGAAGAGAUCUAUACCGAUCAGCGCCACGGCGCAUGUGUGUGCGAGGCAUGCGGCGCCCCCCCUGAGUCUGACCGCGUAGGCUCAUGAGGCGCAGAUGCCGGAAGCACGACAAGAGCAGUCCGAUAGGCACCAUCGAGUCCUCUGGACUUCCGCGUGAAGAGCCCCCCCCACGCGAGAUGAUGGAGCGCCGCGGCUUGAGGCGACCGGGGGCGAAGCAUGGUAUACAGGCCGUGCACGGGGCUUCGGGGGGGGUUGUAACCUGGGGUUGCGCAACAUCCCCCCUGCACUCAUGCGGCAUGUGCAUGGGCGCCGCCCUGCUACCCGCACAACUGGCGCCACCGGCCUCCGCGCUCAAGCGCAGGACCCUGGACGCGGCCCGCUGUGAAUCAAGGCAUGCUGUCCGCUCGAGUCCCCUCUGACGCUGAUCGCGCCGCAAGCAACGAGAGGAACGGACGAGGAAGGACAGGAGGAACCCGCUCGACGGCCAGGACUUGGCCGCAGUGCAGCACCGGUACAUGAGCUAUGAUUGCUUGCACACAUAUACCGACGUGUUGUCCACUCAAUGGACCCAUGAACGAAGUGUUUUUGCGUUACGAGGUCCAUUGUAUGCGUCUGUGCGCGUGCAUUUUUAGCUUUUUUUUUGCGCUCCGCGGCCCAUCGCAUCCUGCGGAUGAGCCUGUAUCGCACAGGGAGGGAGGGCGCAAGCGAUGCAGCCCCGGCAAGCGAGCACGAAGGACUCAACGCGAACCGACGGUGUUCGACGGCGAGUGCCCUGCCCUUCUCGGUGUUCUUUCGGUUUUUUUUUGCUUCUCACGGGGGGGGCACCGUGUCGUGUAGAUAUCUGUCAUGGUGACCUCGUUCGGGGUAUUUUGGCUGCGUCGGACAGCGUCGAGGUGUUUGGCGGCAGCUUCCUUGUUUCCUUUGUUCUUUGUGACCCUCAUGUCUUAUGCAGGUGCAUCGCCGCAGCUGAUGUGGAGCGGCGAUGCUUUACAGCUUCCGUGUGAGAGAGAGACAGAAGAGACGGAUCGGGGCGGGAGGUGGCGAUGGCUUGCGAGGCAGCCAAGAAUGGCUUCACCGCGGCAAAGGUGUAUUCGGUCUUUCCGCUGCUUUGGGUUCAUCAGCUCGACCUAGCGUGACGGCAAAGGCAGGCGAGAUGACAAACUCGGCAAUCCACGGGUGCGAAGAGGGCUUCUGCGCACGGACGGAAAGAAAAAGGCAAGGGCGCGGGAAGACUUUCUUUUGUGGUCCGUAAACGCGCAUUUUCGUGCCUCUUUGGUACCUUUCGCCUAUCAUCGAGCGCCUCGCGGCGCGCUCUCACUCCCCUGGAUGCGCGGAAACUCCCUCUUUUUCGCUCCUCUUGUCCAGUGUCCACAACACGAUGAGACGUGCGUUUGAGUCUGAAGGCGUGGGUGUGUGCCAGAUGGAACCGUCUAUCUGCACGCAUCGCUCUGUGCAUGUGUUUUUCGCCGCAGAGUCGGUCUGCUAACGCGGCGCUGACUCCUCAGCACCUUCUUCCGUCUCGCCUUCGCUUUUUUCUUUGGUUCCCGUGUGCUGUGUUUUCUUUUCGUUGCUGGGCAUUAAAAUGUGCAUGUUCUUUCAUCUCCCUGACUUCAGGGCCAACCCCCGGCUUUCUCUGCGUGCCUCUUGGUGCGUGCCGGUAUUACUUGCAGGCUCUUCUCCCUUCCCCUUCCCCUUCUGUUGCUGCUGGGAAUGUGCACAAUGCGGCGAGUCUCCUUCUCUCUCUCUGUGUGUGUGUGGGGGGGGCGCGUGUGUGUAUACCCGACGACGCUCACGUGCGGGGCUCUCGUCGCGUGAGGCUGGAGGAGGGCAGCGGCGGACGAGGGGAGAAAAGCUCGAUGCCUCUUCGUCGCGCAUUGUCGCCUUUUUUUUGUUUUCUACGUCUUGCGUGCGUGUGCAUGUGUGCGCUAGUCGUUCACUUCUCCGUUCUACGGAUUUCGUUCUUGGAGGUGUGCGCUGUGGCUUCGGUGUUUUGGUGCUUAGCGGGGGAUGUGCGCAUGCCGCGUUUUUGAUAGCGAUUCCGAUAUGUAGGUGUCGGAGCAUGUGCGCUACACGUUGCAGCCUUUAUGUGGCGCACGUCUGCGCGCAUCAAUGCACAGAAGAACUUCUCUUGCUGUGGCUUCGCCAUCUCUUUCGAACACUGUGUGCCCGUGUUUUAUGGCACUGUCCUCUUGCUAUACUUGUCGCGCCGCCUCUUCAGAUGUUCCCCGUCCGUCUGCGUUGGAUUAGCGCGAUGGGGACGCGCUGGUUAAUGAUUGCUGUCUCCCCUUUUCCUUCGUUUCGCCUUUUUCCGUCACGCUUCUCUCUUCAUUGAUCACUCGGUGUACGACAGAGGCUCCGUGUUGUACACAGCCUUGUCUUUGUGCCUUUUUCUACCAAACCUUACUUCUCCUUUUUCGUUGUUGUUUACAUCGUUUUCUUGGCAGUGUGCUCCUUUUGCGUGUGCGUUGGUGUGCUUUUGUGUGUCAAGACAUGUGCACGCGCAUGGGUCGCCUCUACAGCCUCGUUGUACAUCUAUGUUGGUACUCGCGCAGCGUGCUCGUUUUAUGUUUUCUUGCUUCUUUUUUUGAGUCCUUUCGGCGGGCAGUAAAGGUGAGCGGCCCUGAUGGCAACGCUCUUUCUCUCGUUUUUUUUUGUUUGUUCUUUGGUGGUGUGCCGAUGUGCGUCGAUGCGCCUCUCUGUCCGUGUGUGUGUGUGUGUGUGUGUGAACGUCGGAAAUAUCUCUUUGCUUUUCGUUUUCUUACCCCUUUUCGCGACAGGGCAGCGAGCGUUCAUCUCCCUUAGAGAGGAGAGCGCCGUUAACGCACCCCCCUCUCCUCGAGAGCACCAGAAUGGGAUGAGACGGUGAGGGAAAUGCCCACAGAAGUGCAGAGUAGCGCAUCGACAGGUCUCGUGCUUCGAACAGUGAAAAAAAAAAAGGAUCGAUAGAGAAGCAGCAAACCGCAGAAAAGGAGUCGAAUCGUCGGUCUCUGUACCUCUUUUUGUGUAGGUAUGCGUACGGAGUGGAUCAGGUGAAGUACGAAGAACACACCCAGACACAUACAGCUGCCCUUCUCUCUUCUCCGCGUUCUUUGGUCGUGAGCUUCUUCCAUCUUCAUUUUUUCUUGUCCCUUGUGUGUGCCUCAGCGCUGCGCUGCUCUUUUCUAUCGUGUUUUUUUUUUGCUUUUCCACUCGCAAUGUGCGUCUCUUGCGGUACGGUCGUCCCCGCCCUGCGGAGAACUUCUCGGCGGUCUGUUUUUUUUUUCCGCGCCAUCGAAAUGGGCACAUACUCACACACAAACACACAGAAACAGAUGCGGAGUAGAAACGGAAUGGACGCCGCGCCAGACGUAGAAAAUGACUGCCGCGCGCGCUUUCUUUGACCGCUCCUUCUCCGCCUGUGUCUCCUGUCUGUCUUUUUUUUGUCGGUGUGCGUUCGAUUACGUUAUCAGCUGCACGCCGCUUACACCGAUCUGUGUCGCCUUCUCGCAGCGUACACAAGCAAAUGCACCUCGGAUCAAAACAUCGUCAGAUGGAAAGGGGCAGGAGAAAAGCGUGAGAAAGAGGGAGAGAUGCCACGCGUUACCAAGCCAGCGGCAUUACGCUCAAAGGCAUAAACACCCCCAUAGCCGUUUCAUGAGUGUUUUCGUUGUCCACCUGCCCUCUACUCUGCCUUGUACAUAUGCUGCGCGCUCCUCUUUCUUCUCGCGGUGCUCUUGCAUUGGCGCGGGUGGUGGUAGUGGUGUUGUGCGUGGGCGCGCGCGUCUGCCGCACAAAGUUAUGAUGACCAGAAGAGAGGAAGAGGGCGAGACCGCUCUGCAUGCGGCAGUGCUGCUAUAGUACUCACUCCAGCACGCAGCUCCUGUGCUGGUGCGCGCCGUGAUUGCAGGAGUACACGUGGAGGGAAGGACAACGGCUAGCAGACGUACAUCACUUCUUUUUUCUUUUCUUCGUCGCCGUUGAAUGAGCGGCGCUCCGUUCGCCUCCCGUUCAAGACGCUUAUUCACAGCUUCUCCUGUAUUUGAUCUUGGCCAUUUCUUAUGUUCUUUGUUAAUUUUUUUGUUUCCCCUUUUUUUGUCGCGUCUGUUGUGCUGACGAAGACGCGCUGGCGCAGCGUCUUUGUGUGCGCUUUCUCUUCGUCUCUGCUUUCUCUCACUUCUUACUCUGAUUGGCUUUUCUUUCUCCUCGCUAUAUCAAGAGGACGCGCGCGCUGCAAGGGCGCGCGCAGCUACGCGAGGCACGGUGAAUAGAUGCUACCCAGGUUCUCUGCAGGGGUGACCGUCAUCGUGCGAGUGGGUGAGAUGGAAUCUUGUAGCCGUGAAAGGCUGGCAGCGAAGGUUGCCGACACGAAGCCAAAACACGGACACUGGCGAGCCCUCGUUGGCGUUGUUCCCUGCCAGGAAAGAGGAAUGCCGUGCGAUUGGAGCUCAUCACCAUUCAGCUUCAGCUUUCGUGCCCACAUCCUUCUUACGCACGUUCCCCCCUUCUUUACUCCUCUCCUCCUCCGCACCGCUGUGGGGAAGGCACAGAGCGAAACGGGGAGGCCAAAGGAUCCGGUGUUUCUUGUGUACGCGCUUUUGUAUGCGCGUGCCGCUGCGCAGCAUGCCCAGCGCCCUGACCUCUCUGCCCCAGCGGGCUCUCUUACUAGUGCGUGUCUGUAUUCUGUUUCGGUGGGGUGAUGAAGGGCCUGCCGUCUCGCCUCCUUUUUUUUUUCAUGUCGUGCCUCCUUUUUGCUUCAAAGCUCUCCUUCAUUGCUUGCGUGUGCUUUCGUGACGCCACCCCUCCUCCUCGCUUGCACGUGCUUCUCUUCUCGCCACCGCCAUCCCCCCCCCUCCUCUACCCGUUGCCACUCCAUCUGUCUCCAUCGUCCUUGCAUUUUUUUUUUCGAACCCCCAGCGGCGAAUGUCCUUCUCCUUUCUUCCAUUCUCCCCACACGCUCUGAGUGUGCAUUUUAGGGGGUGCAUGCGCCCCCUCCCAAACACAACAGCAAGCACGGGAAGCAGCUAAUGGACUGGAGAGAGGCGGGAGGCGGCGGGCGACGUAAGGGGCGAUGCGCGCCAGGCACUCUUCGUCUUCUCUGUCACAAAUUUUCCUUAUUCUGUUUCUCUUCCAGUUUCCUUCAUUCCGCUCCUUUUCACCCCUUCCCCUGCUGUGUUUUAGUUUUGGCGUCGUGUUGCUGCUGAGACGGUGGUAUUGUGCAUGUGUGUGCUAGCUUUUUGUUCCUAUUUACAUUAUUCGUCUUCGCACCCUUUCCAAUAAGUGCACGAGGUGCGCGCCAAUGAGCUCUUUGCCCCGCCCCCAUCAAGCUUGUCUCUUCCCCGCACCAUCCGCGUGCAUAGCAAAUGGACGCAUCUUUUUUUUUUUCUUUCGGCUCCGCGCUGCUACCUUCCUGUGGCUCCGUUACUCUGUCACUCUCGCCAGGGUCUGUGUUUUGCGGCGUACGCUUGCCGUAUCUCUGUGUAUGCACGUGUGCGUGCAUUCGCGGGUGCGCGCGUCACUGCUGAUUGGCAUCCGUGUGCGGAUGAGUACGCGUGGGAGUGCUUGACAACGGUGGAAACGACAACGCGACGAGGGCUCGAAGCGAAGAGUUCUUGCUGCACACGUAGGCAGUGCUUCAUGGAAAAGGGGUAACGUGGCGUGUGCGCAUCUCUGCAUGACCGUAUGGGCUACCUGCCAACGUACCUACACACAAGAGCUCACACGCACUCAUUCGUAGCACUCUGACCCUCUUCCUUGCUUGCCCUACGAAAGCUCUUGGUACACCACCGUUCUUGCCUCCAGCGUCUUUCCUUCCACGAAAUUUUUCAAUGACAGCAGCAGCAGCAGCAGCGAAAAAAAAAGGACGACACAACCUUGUUUUUGUUUCUUGAGCUCUUCUUUCCUCUUCCUUUUGUGGGCCUGUGCUCUUUACCUUGUUUCGUGUUGUUGUCUUUGUCUGUAGCCACCUGGCCUUGCCUUCCUCUCCUCUCCUGUAAGUCUUCUGAUCUCCUGUAUGGCUCCCUUGUUUUCUUUUUGCCUCACCCUCACCCUCUCCUCGUUUAUAAUUUUGCGUCUAUUUGUGUUUUCGUGCUUCGCCUUUGCCCCUCUCGACUCCUCCUCUCUCGCUCUUCAUGAUGUGUGACUUACGUGGGACGGCUCUGCACCGCCGCUCUCUUCUUUUUUCCUCGUUUUGAUCUUUCCUCAUCCUUUUUUUUGUUGUUUUGGCCCUCUCUCGUUGGACAAGUCCUCUCCACCGCCACCGCCACUACACACGUGCCUACUCGCCCCCUCCACCCCUCCCCCCCCCACACACACAAACAAAAACAAAAAUGAAGAUAAUAAACGUAAAACACACACACACACACACACAAAAGGAAAAAAAAAACAGAAAAGUCAAGAAAGAAAAGGACGGCAAAACAAACAAAAAUACUUCUACGGACGUCUUUUUUUUGGACCCUGACAUCAUCUAUCGCACCCUCUUCUCUUCCCCUCUGCCUUACCCCUCUCCACCUCUUUCUCUCUCCCUCCGGGCCUUCCCUCCACAUCUUGUGCGGUGCCGUUUAUUUUCUCGCCUCUUGUCGGUUUGCUGUGACAUGUCCUCUACUUUCCAUGAUCGCAUGCGCUAUUUCUCUUGAGGCGUACUCGACGAAAACUCAG